rnacentral:rRNA from 1 species
GAUGAACGCUGGCGGCGUGCUUAACACAUGCAAGUCAAACGGAAAGGCUCCUGCUUGCAGGGGUACUCGAGUGGCGAACGGGUGAGUAACACGUGGGUGAUCUGCCCUGCACUUCGGGAUAAGCCUGGGAAACUGGGUCUAAUACCGGAUAGGACGAUGGUUUGGAUGCCAUUGUGGAAAGUUUUUCGGUGUGGGAUGAGCUCGCGGCCUAUCAGCUUGUUGGUGGGGUAAUGGCCUACCAAGGCGUCGACGGGUAGCCGGCCUGAGAGGGUGUACGGCCACAUUGGGACUGAGAUACGGCCCAGACUCCUACGGGAGGCAGCAGUGGGGAAUAUUGCACAAUGGGCGCAAGCCUGAUGCAGCGACGCCGCGUGGGGGAUGACGGCCUUCGGGUUGUAAACUCCUUUCGCUAGGGACGAAGCGCAAGUGACGGUACCUGGAGAAGAAGCACCGGCUAACUACGUG